rnacentral:rRNA from 1 species
CCUACGGGAGGCAGCAGUGAGGAAUAUUGGUCAAUGGACGAGAGUCUGAACCAGCCAAGUAGCGUGAAGGAUGACUGCCCUAUGGGUUGUAAACUUCUUUUAUAUGGGAGUAAAAUGUUCCACGUGUGGAAGUUUGUAGGUACCAUAUGAAUAAGGAUCGGCUAAAUCCGUGCCAGCAGCAGCGGUAAUACGGAAGAUCCGUGCGUUAUCCGGAUUUAUUGGGUUUAAAGGGAGCGUAGGUGGGUUGUUAAGUGUGUUGUGAAAAUUUGCGGCUCAACCGUAAAAUUGCAGUUGAAACUGGCAGUCUUGAGGACAGUAGAGGUGAGUGGAAUUCGGGGUGUAGCGGUGAAAUGCGUAGAGAGCACGAGGAAAUCCAGUUGCGAAGGCGGCUCUCUGGACUGUAACUGACGCUGAGGCUCGAAAGUGUGGGGAGCAAACAGGAGUAGAUACCCUAGUAGUC